rnacentral:rRNA from 1 species
AUUGAACGCUGGCGGCAGGCCUAACACAUGCAAGUCGAGCGGAUGACGGGAGCUUGCUCCUGGAUUCAGCGGCGGACGGGUGAGUAAUGCCUAGGAAUCUGCCUGGUAGUGGGGGACAACGUUUCGAAAGGAACGCUAAUACCGCAUACGUCCUACGGGAGAAAGCAGGGGACCUUCGGGCCUUGCGCUAUCAGAUGAGCCUAGGUCGGAUUAGCUAGUUGGUGAGGUAAUGGCUCACCAAGGCGACGAUCCGUAACUGGUCUGAGAGGAUGAUCAGUCACACUGGAACUGAGACACGGUCCAGACUCCUACGGGAGGCAGCAGUGGGGAAUAUUGGACAAUGGGCGAAAGCCUGAUCCAGCCAUGCCGCGUGUGUGAAGAAGGUCUUCGGAUUGUAAAGCACUUUAAGUUGGGAGGAAGGGUACUUACCUAAUACGUGAGUAUUUUGACGUUACCGACAGAAUAAGCACCGGCUAACUCUGUGCCAGCAGCCGCCGUAACAC